rnacentral:rRNA from 1 species
UGCCCUACAGUUCCCCGCCCCGGGAACAAGGAGCUGGUAUCAGGCACACCCCAUUGAGCCCACGACGCCUUGCUUAGCCACACCCUCAAGGGAACUCAGCAGUGAUAAACAUUAAGCCAUAAGUGAAAACUUGACUUAGUCAAGGCUAAGAGGGCCGGUAAAACUCGUGCCAGCCACCGCGGUUAUACGAGAGGCCCAAGUUGAUGACCACCGGCGUAAAGCGUGGUUAAGUUAAAACUCACACUAAAGUCAAACAUCUUCAAGACUGUUAUACGUACCCGAAGACAGGAAGUUCAACCACGAAAGUGACUUUAUAUGAUCUGACCCCACGAAAGCUAAGGAACAAACUGGGAUUAGAUACCCCACUAUGCCUAGCCCUAAACAUUGAUAGUACUACACACCCACUAUCCGCCCGGGAACUACGAGCAAUAGCUUAAAACCCAAAGGACUUGGCGGUGCUUUAGAUCCACCUAGAGGAGCCUGUUCUAGAACCGAUACCCCCCGUUCAACCUCACCCUUCCUUGUUUAUCCCGCCUAUAUACCGCCGUCGUCAGCUUACCCUCUGAGGGUCUAAUAGUAAGCAAAACUGGCACAGCCUAAAACGUCAGGUCGAGGUGUAGCGUAUGGAGGGGGAAGAAAUGGGCUACAUUCGCUACAACAGCGAACACGAAAGAUGUGCUGAAACAUCCAUCUGAAGGAGGAUUUAGCAGUAAGCAG